UACGUAGGGAGCAAGCGUUGUCCGGAAUCAUUGGGCGUAAAGCGCGCGUAGGCGGCCUCAUAAGUCCGUUGUGAAAGUCAAAGGCUCAACCUUUGAAAGCCGAUGGAUACUGUCAGGCUCGAGUCCGGAAGAGGCAAGUGGAAUUCCCGGUGUAGCGGUGAAAUACGCAGAUAUCGGGAGGAACACCAAUGGCGAAGGCAGCUUGCUGGGACGGUACUGACGCUGAGACGCGAAAGCGUGGGGAGCAAACAGG
rnacentral:rRNA from 1 species